rnacentral:snRNA from 1 species
GUGCUUGCUUCGGCAGCACAUAUGCUAAAAUUGGAAUGAUACAGAGAUUAGCACGGCCCCUGUGCAAGGAUGACACGCAAAUUCGUGAAGCAUUCCAUAUUUUG